rnacentral:rRNA from 1 species
GACGUAGGGGGCAAGCGUUGUCCGGAAUUAUUGGGCGUAAAGCGCUCGUAGGCGGAUCGGUAAGUCUGUGAAGAAAGACCCGGGCUCAACUCGGGGAACGGCAUAGAUACUGCUGAUCUUGAGACAGUCAGAGGAUGAUGGAAUUCCAGGUGUAGCGGUGAAAUGCGUAGAGAUCCGGAGGAACACCGACGGCGCAGGCAGCGUCCUGGCCGCUUGCUGACACUGAGGCACGAAAGCUGGGGGAGCAAACAGG